AGGAGAGGUUGUGCUGUCUUUGGUUUCUUUGGCUUCUUUAGCUUCUUUGUCUUUUUCUUCUUUUUCUUCUUUUUCUUUU
rnacentral:ribozyme from 13 species